rnacentral:lncRNA from 1 species
AUGGGCAUCAGACUGGUCCCAGGUAGACACAUCUCCUACAGACGGUCCCUUUCCUUCAGAGAGGGGCAUCUUCUGAGGAGGGACAGAACGACCCGGGACCUGGUUUUUGUCUUCUCUCAUCACAGGGAGACCACCACUGUGUGUGGGAGAGAGAAAGGUUGCUCUUCUUGGAAAAGAUCAGAUUUAUUUGGAGAAGACAAAAAACCCACAACCCAAAGGAUGGGAUUUUACAUCUCAAGACAUCUCCCAGAAUGUCUCUCUGGCUUCCUCUCCCUCUCAGAGACCCAAUUUGGAACUGAAACCCUGAGGUGAGAUAACUGAGAAAGAAACUUACCUGUGGUCCUCAAAUGAGCUGCUAAGAAAGCUAGUCAUCUGACACAGUGCUGGGAUGACAGACACCAGCCAUCACAUCCAGCCUUAUGAAUUUCAUAAUUCCAUAAUCAGCUGUUUAAGAAUCAUCAUGGCAAGAGAAGGUUCAACUUAGCACAGCAAAAGAAAUUUCAGGAAAAGAGUGAAGAGACGUGCCUGGCCAUUUGUUGUGCAGUGAGAGAGCAAAGACCAGAGGAACAGGAGGUGAUUGAAAGGCCCCAGGGAUUGUGCCUAAAAAAAAAUAAGAAGGAGGAAGCGGUCGAUUUCCUGACUUGUGAUUGGUGAAUGUGUUGAAGAAAUUUAGAGUUCUUUAGGUGAACUUGGGCAGGAUUUAACAAUAGCAUAUAGAAAACUAAGCAAAUGAGGCAGGGCGUGGUGGCUCAUGCCUGUAAGCCUAGCUCUUUGGGAGGCCGAGGUGGGCAGAUCAUGAGGUCAGGAGUUCGAGACCAGCCUGGCCAACAUGGUGAAACCCCAUCUCUACCAAAAAUACAAAAAUUCGCUGGAUAUGCUCGCUUGUAUC